GAGAAGCCUGAAGUCGAAGCCAUCAUGGCCGCCAGCUCCGACUCCCUCCCGUUGGGGGAGAUUGAACGGGCUGUAACGGCAGGUGUGCGGGCUGAGGCUCCGCUUCAAACUGCCGUUCUGUCGUAAACACCAUUAAUGAGGAGUCAAGUAGGUUUAAAAAGAAUAUUUCUGUGGCGCCGGUGGAGAAUUAGUUGGCUAUCUUUACUACCUAGCCGAAAUUACGUCCAGGCUAAAAAAAGGUUUCCAGAUCAGAUGUGGGCGGGGUUUGCGCGCACUGUUUGAGGUGAUUGAGUUCGCGUCUCUGAUCUGAGACCAGCGCUGUUUGAGGGUAGGGAUGGAGUCUACUUGCCCAUUCAUGAAUAUUCAGUUUUACACUCGGCCAACAUUUAACAUUUACAUUUAACAUUUAACAUUUACAUUUACAUUUAGACUUUUGCACAUUUAACUAAACGUGAGAAAACAUGUUGUGUCAUUUAGUUAAAUGUGAGAAAACUAGUUAUAGGUGCUCCUUUUACAUUUGGCACCCCAUAACCUAGUAGUAUGAUCAACAAUGAACUGUGUUGUGCUGUGUGUAAUAAAUCGCCAUCAGCAUACAUUAUUUCAAUGGUUAAAGGUUUAACAGUGAUUUGUCCACAGAGAAUUCAGUUGCACAUCCUUCAGUGACCUUGAUGAUCUAUAUAAUGUCAGGCACUGAAACUGACAAUUCUUGUUAUUAAUAUUAAAUUGUUGCAUUGUUUGUUUAUAUUGCUGGCUCACAACCAAAUGGUCCUAAGCAUAGAAUGAACUGGUUACCUUGUGUCUGUUCUGCAGAGUCAGUGUUGUCAGAUUCAUCUGUGGGGACAAACAAAUUUCAGACAUUUUGAUGUGAUGGUAAUGUAGUGAUCAGACAUUGACCUAGAGCAGGAAGCCAGGGAAUCAGAAUCAGAAUCAGAAAAUAUAAAAUACUGUAUUGUCAGGUCUUGUAGAGAACAGAAGUGUUUCUCCUACGAUGUUUGGCGUUGUAGCACAUACAGCAGCAAGAAAGAUACAAACAAACAGAACAUCAAAAUAAAAGUGAAUUCAACCAGAGAUUUUUGUUUUCACCUGAAACAAAGGUGUGAGGUGCCCCUGUGACGAUGUAGGGACUGAGGGUGCAUAACGCAGAUUCUUUUAGUGAAAGUGAAGGGAAAGAGGCACAUUUGGUACCGUGUUUGUGUCGUGUCUGGAUUGCUGUCAGAUGAAAAAUGCAUUUUUACAUCUUGCUGUAUAUAUGAUAUAUAAUAUGUCUGCAGAGUGUCUGACUGUGGACCUGGGCUUUGUUCCACUUUUCUCAAGUGGGGUUUAAAUCCACCUUGUGAUAGAAAGCCUAAAACCUUAACAUCCAGAUUCUAGGAUUUAAGAUUCAGCUAACAGAAAAAAAGAACAAAACAUCACAUUGACUCUUGAACAUUGGGUUCCUGUUACAACCUGAAAAGUCCUGGUUUUCUUUGAUAGGGGUUGGAGGUUACUGUUCAAGGGCUCAGCUGGUCAAAGUGUUUGCUUCACAUCAUUUGAAAGCUUGGUUAUAAAUUAUAAAGUGGUUGAUCACAUACAGAGAACAUUUCAGUUCCAGUGACCAGUGACACCAGUAAUAAACCUGCUUUAGUCUGAAUGUGCCUAUGUAGGUGAAUGACAAAGAGGUGACAUUCUUAGUACUUACCUUGGUUCUGUUCAGCAGAGGUGUCACUGUCACCUGUGAAGACAAAGAAGAUAAGUUUUAAUAGAAGCAGCAGGUACCGUACUAGUACAAGCAGCAGGUACAGUAAUUACAGUAAUCCCACUGUAGUCAGUAGAGUGGUGUUGCUUCCAGUAACUAGUGCGGUGUUGAUACCCAUAAUUGCAGUACUUGCAACCUGCACGUUUUCAUCACCAUAGACAUGACAGGUAUUCUUCUCACCUUCAGCUUUGUCACUUUCCUCUGCGGUGGAGUCUUUGCCAUCACUGCUGUCUGAAACAGCUUAAAGUACAUGGCACCACAAAAUAACAUUGGACAUAUACUUUUUUUACAACAGUAAAAUAAAAUUCCAUAUCCUUGCUCAACAAAGAAACAUAACUUUGUUGAGAAAUGAUACAGAAUCUUAUUUGACUAAUUGCUAAUGAACAAACAAACACAAAAAUGUAUAUAUAGACAGUACCAAGCUGCAGCUAUCACAAAAUAAGCAGCUCUCACUCGUGAAGGCACCAACCUGGUGAUUCAGUUUUCUCAUCUGAUUCUGAGGGAGCUGAAAGACAAACCGGUGAACAGACAGUCAGGUGAGUAGUAAAACAGGUGAGCAGACAGACCUAAGCCAAGGGGGGAACAGACAUAUUACCUUCAGUUUGUUCAGGGGAGUCGAUGCUGUCAUUUAGAUCUGUGAUGACAAAUAACCAGUUUGAUACAGUUGUAGGUGGUUGUACACAUUGUGUGAAGUGUGUAUAUGUUGUUACCUGUCUGGGCUGUCACAGGUUCAUCUGUAGUUACUCCUACAUCAAUAAUAAGAACAUACACAUGACAUCUUAGCUGGCACAGGGGCCAGCAGGUGUGUGUGUCUGUUACCCUGCAGUGCUGCACAACCUUACAGUAAACCAGUAAACCAGUUCACACUCACUUAAAAAACGCCAUUUGAGUUUUACGGUAUGGAACGGGUCUGUGGCAGCCCUCAAAGGGGAGUGUGGUAGGGAGCUAAAGACGACCUUCAAUUCAAUGCGAUCAAUUUGUGCAACUGAUGACUCUGAUACAAUUUUGGGAAUACAACCAGACCCUCCAGCCUCCAGCAGAGGGCGCUCUGUCUCCUUCUUUUAUAUAUAUAUAUAUAUAUAUACAUACACACACACAUUUUAUAGUUUACCUGGUGUUGGAGCCGUCAGACAAACAGCAGCAAGAGCAAGGAUCAGCAAAACAACACACCUGUAACACAGCUGGAAUUAGAUUUGAAUGCAAAACCAGUGAGUUAAUUUGUGAAUUUGCAUGUUGUUCAUCUACACAAUAGUGUCAGACUAAACUUUUCUAUUUUAAUAAUAGGACAACACAAACAUCUCGUCACAAAAAUUUGAGCCCCUAUAAUAAAAUGUAAACCCUUUAACAUCUAUAUUGUAAAUGAACAAUAGUUUAACAGUGCAGUACUGUAAGCAAUGUCAGUAACUAAAGCCACACAUGUAAACUGAUCACCAUCAGGUUGUUAAAUGACUGACUUUCUUUGUGUUUCUGCCACAGAAAAAAACAAAGCUUCUCUUCUUUCCAACGUAUAGAGAGAAACAAAGUGCAAAAGAAAACCAGCACAGGUCCUCAAAGAGACAGAGAGGCUUUAAGGUUGAGAAUCGAGUGUCGGGUUAAAACCCGGAGAAGAACGCGUCUUUAUGCUGAAUCACUGGAGGAUUUAUUCAGACCGGACACAGUCACUGAUCAGUUCUGCCCGACGAUAAGAGCUGGACACUGAGCAGGUUAUAUUUAUUACUGGGUUUGAGGUUGAAGAAGCGCUCCGUGAUCCGCCUUGCUGCUUUCCCAGACGUAAGUACAUGCUUGAUACCUAUUUGAUGUAUGUACUCCAUAAGUUUCUGUUUAUAAUCUAGAAUCCCUCCUGUGUAAGAAAUGCCAAUUGCUAGAACAGUUGAAUCUAACAGCUACAGUGACAGAGAGAGAGAGAGAGCGUUGCAAGGUGCUGCCACGCAAUUUGGAUGAGUCCAAGCCAGGAUUUUUCCGGUUCGAAUUGUGUGAUAUAUGGUACUGAGGUCAUUCACUCAGCUCACAUUUUAGCUGCUAGCGUCAUGUUAGCCGCUAGCACGAUGGCAGCGCAGUGUUAGCGGCUAGCAUUAGCGGCUAGCAUUAGCGGCUAGUGAUAGCCGCUAGCGCUCGUUUCAGUCACUCACAGUGCACUUUAGCAUAGUAGGUGGCGCUAAUGCACCUUUCAGUUGAUUGCCACCCGCCAUUUAAAAGACAAAACAAGAAGAAGUCACUCAGGUUGAAGAAGCACUCCGUUCCUACAAGACGUGAUCCGCUUGCUGCUUCCCCAAACGUAAGUACAUGCUUGAUACUUACUUGAUGUAUGUACUCCAGAAGUUUCUUUGUUUAUAAUCUACUGUAGCUUCCCUCCUGUGUACGGAAUGCUAAUUGCUAGAACAGUUGAAUCUAACAGCUACAGCGACAGAGAGAGACAGUGUUGCAAGGUGCUGCCACGCAAUUUGGAUGAUUCCAAGCCUCUCCAGCAUUCAUUUGGUUCGAAUCGUGUGACUCUUAAUGUCAAUGUGAAUCAAUGUUACUCAGCUCACAUUGUAGCUGCUAGCUCCAUGUUAGCCCCUAGUGCGAUUUUAACACAGUGUUAGCAGCUAGCAAUAGUAAGUUGUGAGUCAGUUGUUUUUCUAAUUACUACCGAGCCUGCCGUGUGUACGUCGUAGCCCAAGUAGACCUGUGAAUUUAGGUUAUGGCAAGUUCCAUCUAAGUCUAACAUGUAUUUUGUUGCUGUCUUCUUGUAUGUGUUGCUUAUCUACUCAGCUACUGUAGCUUUAAACAUGACUUUUUUUAUACAGGCUGACGCAUGCCAGCUAUCGAAAAGCGAGGAGGUUGCUUCUCAAACUGACUCCACUACAGGCUGUGGACACACAGCUACCUUGUAGAAGAGUUGUUGCUCACCUCAGGAGCAAAGUGUUAUGGUGCAGAUUAUGUGGAAAAUGUGAUGGAGACCAUCUUCAAUAAAGUCCUGCUGGACUCAGGUUGUUAUAUGGAGGACCUUGUGAACAUCCCUGUCCCACCUGCCCUCUGAGCAGAAUUUGAGCAAGCUGACAAGUGGUGUCAAGGAAAACAGCUGCAUCCUCUGUACCAUCUGUACAGCAGCUGCACUGCUUCUGAUGUUUUACAAAAUGUGAUGAAGACAAAAAAGAUCCUCACAUCUCCCCAGCCAACUGCCCAUGACUGUACUUGUUCCACUCCAGAAACUAUGCUUUCAACAUAACUAUGAAUCCUACCUGUUCAUUUUGUGGUCUGCAAAUUGAACUGUGAAGAUGGUCUAAGUCCAACAUAGGUGCCUUAUCCCUCAGGAAACACUGCCCUGAUCCAGACCAGGGAAGGUGGGAUGACUUGAACUCUUCGCCCUAGAAGUUCCCAGCACCAUCUAACAAUACUUCUAGGCUAGAUACCUGCAACAACUUGAGAUACACACAGACAUAGUACUGUCAAAUUUAUGAAGAAAAAAAACAAUAACUACAUUUCUAUUAGUUAUAUAUUAGCACUUGAUAUAUCAUACACCUUACUAAAGCAAUUAAAAAUAUAUUAGGGUCAAUAUAUAUUUAGAAGCAAAACUAUGUUUGUAAAUCAGAGUUCCCAGGUACAAUAUGAUUAAUCUGUAAAUAGUAAAAUGUACUAAAAUUGUUUAUGAAUUUUUGAGAUACGGAUUUAUUCCAUGCAUGUGUAAUUGUCUGAUAUACUGUAUAUUAAAUGUGUUCUGUAAUGAAUACACAUUCAAUCAUACUGGCUCCAGUCCUGGAUCAUCAACCAUACAUGACAGUAGGUUUGGCAACUGGUUCAGGCGUCUUAAGGUAAGAUUUAUCGAAAUUUUAAUUAAUUAAUAAAAGUGAUAAACACAUGCAAUAUCUUGACGGCAACAGUUGCUGUCACACCAUGUAGGCAUUCAC